CACCGCGGUUAUACGAGAAACUCACAUUAAUAUAUUCCGGCGUAAAGAGUGAUUUAAGAAUGACCUUCAAAUCACUAAAGUUCAGACUUUAUAAAGCUGUUAUAUGCACUUAUGAGUGGAAAAAACAACAACGAAAGUGACUUUACAGUUCAAGGAACCUUGAUGUCACGACAGUUGGGCUC
rnacentral:rRNA from 1 species